AGGUCAUUGCAGUGAGUAAGGACACAGACAGGCUUUAUAGAUAGAAAGUGAGACUAUAUCAAAGUGCUCAAAGCAGGAAGAGAGAGAUGUGGGGCAAGGAAAAGAGAGGAGAGCAGCAUUGAUUCCAUUUUCGGAGACAACACAAAAGGCAGGCCCGCUACCUCCUUGCCUGUUCUGCUCAGUGAAGAGAGAAUCUCAACCCCCAGCUACGUGUCCCCAAAGGGUCAAAUGGGAUCAUCACAGAGCCUCCCCGGGUGACUUGGCCUUGUCUUUUACACAGAACUGUAGCAUCCCCUGCCACAGAGUAUUUGGACAAGGCUUUGGGGCUUCUGAGAGCCAUUCCCCACCAUGCCCUGCCGUCCUGGGAGCAUGCCUACCAGAAAUCCAGGACACAAUUCACGUCUUCUCGGACCUGCACACACUCAGCCGCUGGCCCGGCUGGAACUCAGCUGAGCCCCUAUGUGGACGGUUCAAGAAAAACAAUGCCUGACAGAAUGAAACCUCACUUCCUCAUGUGUAACCUGACAUGAGGGCUUUCCCCACAACCCUUCAUGGAAGCACAGGUUUCCACACUGCUUAGAUGAGAAACAGAGGUUUGAAGUAAUCAUGCCAAAGCUCAGGCCAAGUCAGUGAUGCUCUUGUCACUGUGUUGUGGCUGCUAGGAGGAGACGGUAUCUGUUCCUGACCCAAAAAGUCCCAUUUCACAUUUCACAAGUCAUAUAUGACUAAAGAUGAUCACUGUCAGCCCCCCAGCUCAAGGACAGGAGCAUCUAAAAUAAAUCAUCUACCAGACACUAACAUAAAUCAUUUCAUUUCAGCCUUACCAUGACUACGAUAAGGUCAGAAUCAUGACACCAAUUGUACAGACAUUGGGGGAGCUAAAAGUGAUUUAUCAAAGAUCCAAGAACCAGUGACAGAAGAUGGCAUCCCAAAACCUAUGCUCUUUCCACUACCAUAGAGAGCACCAUUGUGAACAAUGCAGAUUCCUGGGCUCCACCCCAGACCAGCUGGAUCAGAAUCUCUGAGGGUGGAACCCACCAAUGUGCUCUUAAAAAGCCAUUUCUGGCUGAUCCCAGUGGCUCAUGCCUGUUAUCCCAGCACUUUGGGAGGCUGAGGCAGGAGGAUCACUUGUGGCCAGGAGUUUGAGGUCCAGUGAGUCAGUGAGCUAUUAUUGCACCACGGCACUCCAGCCUGGGCAACAGGAUAAGACCCUGUCUCUAAAAAAAUAAAAAUAAAAAAAUAAAAAGUCAUUUCUCUCCAUGAUUUGCGUAAGAAGAGUGAUUUAUGCCACAUUUUUAUGAAAGUGUAAGACGAGUGAUUUAUGCCACACAAAAUUCCAGCAAUACUAGGCAAUGGCCCAAGAUUUGUCACUAGAGCACGUGGCCUGGGAGGCUGAUUCACAGAGUUAAGAACAUGGUAUCUGGAGCCGGGUUGCUUGGGUUUGAAACCUGGCUCUGCCACAUACUAGCUACGUCACCUGGGGCAAGUCACGUAUUCUCACUGGGCCUCAGUUUCUUCCUCUGAAAAAUUGGUGUCAAAAUAGUACAUACCUGUAUGGUUGUCUGGGAGAUUGAAUGAGUUAAGUUUGUAAAGAGCUUAGAACAGUGUCUGCCAGAGAAUAAACACCCAAAAUAUUGUCAUUACUGUUAUAUGAUUAAUUGUCCAAAAUGACACAGGAAAGAGGAGAAUUCUUGAUACUGUCCCUGAAGGAGGAGGUCAAAGGGCAGAGUUUCAAAGUAUUCGGCUGGAUAAAGAGAAAAGAGAUGAAAUAACUAGCUCUUUCUUUAGUUUCUAGGCUGGUUCUUACGACACUGUUUAUUCCUUGGGAAAUGUCACCAGGAGCAAGUCACUGCAGUUGAGACGGGUCAUGAAUCGUUCUGCAGGGCUGAAUCACAGCCGAAGCGUGGCCCAGGAUGGUCAGGUGAGCCCUGUGACGGUUCCUGUUGCUUAAGCGCUGACUCCUUUCCCAAA
rnacentral:lncRNA from 1 species